CGUUUCUUCUGAAUCUUCUUGCCCCGGCAGUAUAGGAAGGUGAGCAAGACACAGGAGCAGAAGAUGAAGAGGCAGCCCACAACCAUCACUGCAAUCAAGGUUUUCCCAUUGCGUGGAACACAGGCGUGUACAAAGUGUUAGAAGUGGGAAUUCUAAAGCACUGCUCUUAGCACUGCAGUAACUCUUCUGGCCACUAGAGGCAUGAUAUUAUGUUAAUCAUGUCUUGGUCAGUUAGAGUCAGAACUGUUCAGUUGGUGUUGAACUUGGCUAGUGCCUGUUUGAGUAUGUUGUUCAAGGGCUCUCUCUUGGUAUGCGAUGUUCUUGUUUCUUAAUAAAUCUAUUUGUUUUUUUAACUCAA